GAUGAACGCUGGCGGCGUGCCUAAUACAUGCAAGUCGAGCGAACGGACGAGAAGCUUGCUUCUCUGAUGUUAGCGGCGGACGGGUGAGUAACACGUGGAUAACCUACCUAUAAGACUGGGAUAACUUCGGGAAACCGGAGCUAAUACCGGAUAAUAUUUUGAACCGCAUGGUUCAAAAGUGAAAGACGGUCUUGCUGUCACUUAUAGAUGGAUCCGCGCUGCAUUAGCUAGUUGGUAAGGUAACGGGUUACCAAGGCAACGAUGCAUAGCCGACCUGAGAGGGUGAUCGCCCACCCUGGAACUGAGACACGGUCCCGACUCCGACGGGAGGCAGCAGCAGGGAAUCUUACGCAAUGGGCGAAAGCCUAACGUAACAACGCCGCGUGAGUGAUGAAGGUCUUCUGAUCGGAAAACUCUGAUAUUAGUGAAGAUCAUAUGUGUAAGUAACUGUGCACAUCUUGACGGUACCUAAUCAGAAAGCCACGGCUAACUACGUG
rnacentral:rRNA from 1 species